CGCGCGGACACCGGCGCCGCCAUCAUGGCGGCUUGAGGCGCGGCGGGUUCGGCCCCGGGAGCGGCGGGACGGGAGGCCGGGAGCGGAGAGAUUGAAAACCUAGAAUGGCAGGAGAACAGAAGCCAUCCUGCAAUCUUCUAGAGCAGUUCAUUUUACUAGCCAAGGGAACAAGUGGCUCAGCUCUGACUGCUCUUAUAAAUCAAGUGCUGGAAGCUCCUGGGGUUUAUGUCUUUGGAGAGCUGUUGGAGUUAACAAAUGUGAAAGAGCUUGCUGAGGGCUCUAAUGCUGCUUAUUUCCAGCUGCUGAACCUGUUUGCAUACGGAACCUACCGGGACUAUGUGGCAAACAAAGAUAACCUGCCUGAAUUAACAGUGACUCAGAAAAACAAGCUGAAGCACUUGACGAUCGUGAGCCUGGCUUCCCGAAUGAAGUGCAUUCCCUAUUCUGUGUUGCUGAAGGACCUGGAUAUGAGGAAUCUGAGGGAGCUGGAAGAUCUCAUUAUUGAAGCAGUUUACACAGAUAUUAUCCAGGGGAAAUUGGAUCAGCGAAACCAGGUGUUAGAGGUGGAUUUUUGUAUUGGCAGAGACAUUCAGAAGAAGGACAUCAGUAACAUUGUCAAAACACUCCAGGAAUGGUGUGAUGGCUGUGAAGCAGUUCUUUUAGGAAUUGAGCAGCAAGUACUUAGAGCCAACCAGUACAAAGAGAACCACCACCGAACUCAGCAGCAGGUAGAAAUGGAGGUCACAAACAUAAAGAAAACAUUAAAAGCUACAGCCUCGUCGUCGGCACAGGAGAUGGAACAGCAGCUGGUAGAGCGAGAGUGCCCUCCACACACAGAACAAAGGCAGCCCACAAAGAAGAUGUCCAAAGUCAAAGGGCUGGUCUCCAGCCGUCACUAGAACAUGCCAUCUAAUGUCAUUCAGUCAGGAAUGACAACAGGAGGAGCAAAAAGGGCCUGCGUCUCCUUUUUCAGUGGGUUCUGGGCCAGUCCCUUCCCAGCUGGCAAGUAAAAGCUCUGUUUGAACAGCUCCCAGUUAGCAGCACCUGGCUAAGUUACACUGUGCAGCUCCUAUGAGUUUUCAGGGUGUCCCUGCUCUGGUCCUGGCAAGAGGGACUUUUAAAGAGAGGGACUAACCAAAAGGGGCAGGAAAAAACCAAAAUAUCUGUGGGCCGUUUUGCUCCCUCCCAGCCAGUUCAUUGCUGCUUAACCUUGAGGAAGAUGCUCUGCUGAAUCACAUCAUGGGAGAGCUUCUCUAGCAAGCAUGUGAAUCCCAUUGAAGUGUGGCUACCAAAGCCAGGCUGGGAGCGAGGAAGCCAUCAGCACAGAUCUUUUCAUUCCCAAAGGGAGCACAGGAAGGUUUCUAGGCCAGGAACUGCUUUACAUGGAAGCCUUCAGCCUUUCCACUACCCCUGUCUAUUUUAAACUGGGGUGAAAUUCACACUACCUCGCUCUGUGAAGAUGAGUUCCAGUGCUGGGCUGUUUACUUAACUGUCUGUUUACUGCCCUUACUAAGCCCUUUAAUCUCUCACAGAUGUAAAGCACUGUUCUGCAUCUCUGAGGCAUCAGUACAAUAAGGAGGAAGCAGGCUGCUCUUUCACACAGACCUUGCAGGUGGUUAGGGGCAUGCUAGAAACUAUUUCUCCUGAAUGUGAUGUGACCUCCCAGAGCUGCUUGUGAGUUGUUUCCCCCAUUGAUACCUUCAAAGGGUAAUGCAUUCUCUUCCUUGGAUGCUGGCAGUGGGAGAGGAGCCUGUUUGGCAUGGAGGCAGGCUGGUGGCCCAGGACCCACUGGCAGGGGUCGCAGCAGCAUCCCCUUGCCGAAGCAAUGGACUUGAUGAGUCUUUCUGAAUUUUGAACACUUUCAGGUUGUAUUUUCCUCCUUUUUUUUUGUUUUUUGUUUUGUACAUUGUUGUGAUUCUAAAGCAUUUCAGCCUUUGUUUUGUGGGGGGUUUUUUUAUUUGUUACAAACUAACUUCAGGUGAUUUGCACCUAGUUUGGCACGGUGUGGGUUUUUUUUUUAAAGGGGAAGCAUUGGAACAGCAAUUCAUAAAAAAGUACAUUUUAGAAAAAAAAUUAAAAAUGGUGAUUUAAUGUCAGAGUCUGGAGUCUUGACUUGGAGGCUGUUUUAGGCUUGUUGUCCAAUGGCACUUGUUCACUUGAGCAUAUUUGAUUCUUGGUGUAUGUUGACUGAAGUCUGACUGAUCUCUCUGAUGCAUCUGGGAGACAGGAAAGCCUCUUCACGUGUUGUCAGUCGUUCAUCUUUGUCCAGAUUUGUGCAGAAGGAUGUGUGGCAAAGCUGGUAGCUGAGCCCCGUGUCCUGAGCCUAAACAGCUUUGAUGCCUGGUUGUGGAAGGUUCAGAGUUGUGCUCUUAGGCCAGUCAGUUCCUUCCUUUGCAUCUAGCAGAGUGCUGCUUUGUAGUUUGGCUCCUGCAUUUCACUUCUGUAAAGAGAAGCUCUUUUCCUGGGCAGGCAGGGGAGCUGUUUAAGCAGAGGAGUGUGACAAUGCUCCAGUCCUGCAGCCAGCUGUCACCUGCAUUUGCUCGUGCAAUGCACGUGCCUUCCUCUUACUGCUACCAGGACUCUUUGCCAUCUGUGUGUUUGCAGUCCUCAGUCACAGGACUUGCUCACUUGUGAAAGUAAAUCCUUCUCCUUUUCUUCUCCUGCAGUGCAGGCACACCAGCUUUCACCUUUGGAGAGGAAGAUCAAAAUAGUCUCCCUCCAGCUUCCUCUGAGUCAAAUCCCAGACACUUCUGAUUCUGGUCAGGCUUCUGAUUCUUUACCAGCUCUCUCUCCCCCUAGAAAUGCAACAAGGAUGUUAAGUGGAUAAGCCCAGAGCACAAAGCCUUCACCAGUAGCUCAAUGGAACUGUUUCCCAAGCAGUGGCAGGAUUAGCUCCUGUUUCAGCUUCUCACAGUGUUCAGCUGACAGCUUCUCGGGAGGUGCAGGUGGACCUUGUGUUCCCAAGUCUGUGAUGGAGAUGGACUGUGUCUGUUUCUAGCCUGCUGUGUGGACAGCUGCAAUGUGCUGGUCAUCCAUUUCCUCACUGGAUUUGACUAGUGAGGCUCUAUGGUCCUCUUUCCAUUUUUAAUCUCAGUCCUGCAAAGUGGCAGGAGGAAUACAAAUGCCUUUGGGAAUCAAUUUACCUCUUCAUCAAGCCACAGUCUGCUGGGGAGGUAGAUGUGAGUUUGGUGCCCUUGGUGUUUAUUCCCUGCCAGUUUCAGGAGUCACAUUAGUUUACUGAAGCUUCGUGGUUGGAAGUUUUUGAGUUUGUUCUUGUGUUUUUGCUGUUCUCAAAGCCUGGCUGGGGGUGAGGAUCUUAUUUAUGCUUUGGUUCACAUCGCCUUUGAUCAGCAAAGCAGCAAGAGAGGAAAUAGCACUUUGAAUAAAGAGCUGUCCCAUGUCUGAUGGUGACAGAGGACAGGGAAGGGACUGGUGUGUUGGAGGGGAUGGAGCUGUUUGCAUGCUUGGCUUUCCUGGUGUGCCAGCAAAGGGCUUGGUGCUGCAAAAGGAGGGGGAUGUCUGCAAUGAGCCCAGGCUGAGAUGAGUCAUUAACAAAUGACAUGCACAGAGUACCUGGGGGAGGCAAACAGCUCUGCAGCAGCUGGUUAAUGAAUCUGGCUUGAAGGAAAGAGUUAGAAGCUAUUCCAGAAAUGAAGCAGAAGGCAGGGUAGUUAACAGGCAAGGAUGCAGGAGGUGCUGUGCUCUUUGAGAACAACAACAGACAAAGACUCUGUUGAGUCCUGUUGUCUACAGGAAAGGCAGCAACUCAGAGCAGAGUUGUGUGAAUUAGGGGCUGAAUUGUGGGGAGUGCCCAGGGAGCUGAACUGCUAUGGGGACGAGAGGGAGGGGGAAGCAGAGACAGAUUUGAUACAAACUCCCAUGGAUUGCCUGUGCCUGCUGGAGGCAGCCAACACAGCUUGUGUGAGCACUGCUGGAGCUGCUCCCUGGUGCAGGGCGAGCAUCCUGCCCUGCUUUGCUUUAUGGCAGCAAUGGGAUGCUCCAGCUGCAGAGAUUGCAGCAGGACAGACUUUGAGCUAUUGAACUUCUGUUUGCCUUUUCCACCCAGAGGGAAAGAAAGUGGAUGGAAACUGCCUUCCCUCUGCUCUUCGGGGCUUUAUUGUCUAGCUUUGUGUUCUGCAGCUCCACUUGUACUAGUGCUUGUUUAAUAUGGAAUUGAGCAGUGAGCUGGAAAAUGGAAGAGAGGAUCUCAGCUGAUUGCAGUGCUGGUAGGCUGCCCUGGCCCUAAAGCUGUGCCUCAUGCUAACAAAUGGCCCUGGCACUCCUGCCGAGACUCGCUUGAUACCAGCUAACAUCAGACAGUUCUGGAACACAAUAAAGCAGUGCUGAUGUCAGUCUCUAAAAGGAGAAAAAAAAAGUUUUGGAUUAAAAUCUCUUCUUCUUUUACUUCCCUCCUCACCUUCUUAGCUAAGUUGAAUGCUAACUUACUCUUGUGUUGAGAGCAGGAGGGAAAAUUAGUGAUGCUGGCAGACCCUUCUGUCUUCAGAUUUGAAACCUGAUCUGCAAUCAAUCUUGUGCAGCCCUAAGAAAUCUUAUGGAUGCUUGUGGAGCUGCUCUCAGGCUUGCAGGUCUCUCUCCAUGGAUCAUGUAAAGGAGUAGGACCUGCAGAGCUGCUCUCCAGAGGGAAACUUUUUGGCAGAAAGCGAAGCUUUUGUUCCUUACAGAAGACAGUGGUCAAAAGAAGUGGCAAUUUUCCCACCAGUCCUGCAAAGUGAAUUUUGCUGAACAUCUUUCAGUUCCUGAAAGAAUGUAAAAGGAUGCAGACCCCAGAGGGUGUUUUUGGUUUUAGUGAUCUUAUCCUAUGAGGGCAAAAUGUGUUGGUCCCUGUGUGCCAAGCAGAAUUGUGCUUACUCACUGCAGGGAAAACAGAAGAAAGGGUGCCCUUAUCUCUGAUAGCUGUAUUAGAACUAAAAUUGCAUGGGCAAACCAGACUUUUCCUAAACUUUCAGUUCUGUACAGGGUUAUAUGAGUUCAGCUAAGCUAGGAACCACACAAAGCCCACCCCUGCCCAGUAAAGCAGCCCAAACUUGUGCAUUCAUGGGGCUGUUGGUGCUGGGGAUUCCUAUUUUUGGUCUGAGCCUGUUGCAAACUGCAAUGCAGAAAAACAAAUUUGCUCUUUAUUAUUCUAAAUAAUGGGGAAAUUAGGAGCCUGCCCAACAAACACAAUAGACCCAAAUAGCCCUAUCUCAGGCACCUGGUCACAAAGUUUCCUGUUGGUUUUUUUCCACCCCACUAAGUCCUCUAUAACACCUGACCUAAUGCAAGGGACCCAAAACCUGACUCUGCAUAGCAUAUUUUUGUGUAAUCUGAAAGAGAGUAACCCAGGGGCAUCAAGAAAGGUAAAUUAAAGUUUAGAGAGAUCUCAGUUCCUACUUGUAACCUCAAGCUUGUAUUCUUGGUAUGGAAUUUUAGCCUGACAGUGUGAUUGAAUUUCUCGACAGAGUUUUUAGGAAUAUGUCAUUGUUUCAUUCUGCUCCAUGAUGAAGGUCCGUGACUCUCAGGGACUGUUGACAUUUUGCUGAUAGUUCCUCAAGUUUGGCCCUCCCUCAGAGCUCCCAGAGCUGUUAGAGAGCACCAGUUCCUUCAGGAUCACCUGCCAGCUGUGGUGCUGUACCUUUUACAUCACGACUCUGAGAUGACACCUCUCCUUGCUGGCAGACAGGCCAGGUGGGUAGGCAUUGCUCCUCAGAGCUGUUCUGCAUCUCAGGAGGCACAGGCUGUAGCCUGGUUUAGCACAAAGGAAAUCAAGGACAAGGACAGUGUUGUAAAUAAGGGGCAAAGCACAGAACUGUGUCCUCUUCCUGCUGCAGCUGCAGAGAGCAACCUUGGGGAGAUCAGUUCCUCUGCAGCUGCAUUUCCCAGGACAGCCUUGCUCCUUCCUGCUGACUGUGACAGGGUUUUGGUCUCCUGGCUGGGCAGAGGUUGGUUGCUGAUGGAGUUGAAAAAGAUGAGUGUGUUCAGUAGGGGGGAGAUCUUAACACCUUUUAAGCUUUUCCAGGAGUCAUCUUCCUUUCAAGUAGCAUACCUUUCUUUUCCCCUGAUGCAGAUAAGGUGGUCCAUUGUAGGACUCUCAGCCUGGAGUAUUAUGGGUAAUGUACCAGGUUAAUUAUGGAGGGGGCAGGAAAAAUAGCCUGUGCAGUUUUCAACAAUAUCAAAGGGAUGCCACCUAAUGAUUUUCCUAUUAGCUCUUUUCCCAUCCUGCCAGAGUCGCAGCAGAAGUGUCAUUUACAAAGGCAGUUUGCAACUCAUUACCCUGGAUUUUCACUGUAGUUCUGCUCCAGAGAGCGUGGGCUUUUGCUGUGUGCCCCAACCUAAUGAAUUGCCUGAUUCAGUUAGUGCUGCCAUCCCUUCUGACAAGGUUAGUUGCUGACUGACAGGAAGGGGCCUGGAUCCAAUUCCCUUCUUGUUUUUAACUCACGCUUGUGUCAGGUGCAGGCUCCCUCUGGAAGUCGCCCUGUGAUCCCUUCCCUUUUGUUUUUCUACAUUCUGAGGGAAGCAGCCCAUGCUUGGAGAAGUCCUGGAGCAAGUGGCAGGGGCAUGUUUGUUGCUGCCCCUGGCAGUCCCUGCUCCAUGCCUCAAGUCCCUUUCCAGAUGGAAAAUUCCUUUGCUCUCCUGCUCUGGGACUCUGGGCUUCUCUUUUUCUUCAUUGCAUUGGGAUUUGCUGUCACCAGAGCUGGGCUUUGUAGCCCUUCAGCAAUAAGUACCUGGGAAGAAUUGCAUGAAUGGUACCAGGGAAAAACGUGGAAUAUGGGCUGGGGGAACAGAACGGGUUUCCCAGACAUGAGAAGGCAACAGUGUCCCUGUUGUGAGUGCUCCAUGGUCUGCUCCAGCCUGUUUGGGCUUUGCCAGGCACUUGUACUGCAGCACUGGAGAAAGCUCUUUUUCCUUUUCCACUAGAGAGCUGUGUGCCCUUUCAGGCUGGGGGCUGAUGGCUCAACUCCUGCUAGGAAUUGCUCCUGGAGAGGAGAAAUCAAGGCUGUUCCUAAAUCACAUCACGAGUGUUCCCAUUUGGAAGCUGAAUUGGCUACUGCUCAUCCAGCUGGUGGUGCAGGAAAUGUGUAGGUCCCAUGAGUGCUAAUUUGACCUGAGUAUGGACAGGAGACCCUGGAACUCCUUGUCCCCUCACUUCCAGGAGUGUGCACACACCUCUGCUAAAGGCCGUUCUCUGAGACUGUGGUUGAGAUAUGAGAUGCCAUCUCCUGAGGCUGCACCUUGCAUCCAGAACAGCUGUUGAUCACUUAUGCUGUCUGGGCUGGGGUGUAGCAGGGAAAUUUUCCAGGGCUGGCCAUGGAUCCUUUCAUGGGAUGUGAGGAUCUGACCUAUCUGGCCAUCAGGGGAGGCAGUGAUGUGAGAUGAAUUUGUUUUUGCUGCACACGAUGCCUCCUUGCCUCUUAAUUGCAUUCCUGUGGCCCCUUUUUCUUGCUGUCCUUGUUUUCUACUGAGCCCCUGUCAGGGAGACCCAGUUGUGGCCAUUUUGGGUGAUUGCUGUGUUCUAACGAGCCACUUCUGAUUCCCAUUCUUGCUUGUCCAGUGAAGCAGGAAAGUGCUCAUCAGUGCUCUGAGAACUGACCUCUGCUGGCAGUGCCACUCUGCCUGUCAGACCCACUGGUCUGGCUGUGCCACAGAAGGGCUGAGCUUGGGUGGAUCUGAGCUUUCCCAAGUUUUGCUGCCUUCUCUCUUGCACAUCAUCACCACACAUGGGCACAUAUUCCUGUCCUGCUGGUGGGAAUCCACAUCCUAAGGGACAGGUGGCUCUCUGGUCAAACUAGAGGCAGGAAAGUGAGGAAACAAGCUGUUAUCCUCUCCCUCUGCACCAGGAGCUCUAGCUCUGAUUGCUUUUCUCUGCCAAGCUAAUGGCCUUUUGCUAUACAGCUUUGCCCUUUUCCUUGGGCUUGCUUUUUCCCAGGAAGCCCAGUGGAUGGAACAGACCCAUGCUGUGGGCUGUGCUUUUAUUCUGGGACAAUGGUGCUGAGGAGAAACAGGAAUCCAGGCUGUACAUGACCCCAGGCUGUGAUCUUCAAUCUCCCAACCUUAUCUCAGGUUCUGCCUCACUUAUGUGGUAAAAUUGUGUGGAUUAAAUUCCAGAGGCUGAGUCUCUGCUGCUGUGUUGAGGACAACCCCUCUGUCACUAGGCAGGUGGUUUUAUUUCAGCUCUGGCUUGCAGCAACAAGCCAAAACUGGAAGGGGAAUUGUCCCCACCUUGGUCCCAGCCUGUCACUAUAUCAUGGUCACUAUUCUGGCUUCAUGCUCAAGGACCAGGACCCUGAACAGCACCUGCAGCACCACCUUCUUACACCUCUGUUCAGACCUGGCUGUGCAAGGUCCGCACAGUGAUUCCUUGUUGUCCUUUAGCUUUCCUGAGUGACUGUGGUCAGUCCCCUCUAUUGGGCAUCUCUUUAGGAGCUCCUAAUACAGCCCCUCCUUCCCUCUACAGAUGUGUGGAGCUGGAAGGAUGACCCUUCACAGGUGUAUUUGCCUUACACAGCCCUGGCAGUGGGUUGCCAUUCCCUAUGGGAGUUGCCAUUUUCCCAUCUUGCCUCCCUCCCUGCCAGGGUGUUGAUUUUGUUCCCCAUAGGCAACAUCUUUGUGGUCCAUCAGCUGCUGCUCCCUGUCCAGCAGGAUCCUGUGGGCACUGCGAGGUGGGUUCCUGGCUCUGAUGGAGGCCGUGCUCAUGCGAGGUCAGAAAUGUCCCCUAUGCACUCCUAACCUGAUGAUUGAGCUGUGGGUGUCUGGAUGAAUCCUCUUGUUCUGUUCACCCAGUGUUCUGUCAGAGCUGGGGUGAGUCUGGCUGGAGGUUUCUAUGGUUUCUUGCUGGUUGCUAAGGAAAAGGAUCGGCUCUGCCUCUGGGUCUUGGUGACUUUCUCUUUGCCCUGUCCUAGGCACCGGAGCCCAGCAGAACAUAAUGCUCGUUGUUUCCCAGCCCACUACAAUGGCCAGGGCAUAAUUUGUGACUCCUGUCACGGCUGGGCUGGGUGCCUGCCACUCUCUUUUUUUCUAAGGCCUCUUUGAAGAAUGAGACCAAAGAGCCUUCAAGCAGGAGUUUGUGUGUUUACUGCACUCCCCGCCCCCUCACUUGCUGUUUCCUUUAGAGCUCCAAGUCAUUUUAACGAUUUAUUUCAUGCACUUUACGUAGCAAGAAGCUGUAGCAACAGCUGUGUCCAUGAAUCCUUACCAGGCAGCCCUCAGUAUAUUUUGGUCUGUCUGUGUAUUGUCCCUGGCUCAGUUAAAUAAAUCUCUGCUGGAGGAAGGGACUUUACAGCUUAGUGGCAAAGGGCUGGCGGAUGGGAAUAUCAACAAGACACUUAGUGGGCCACUGGAUCCUGGAAUAGCAGUGCCUCUGGCACAAAGCUGCUCCCAGCAGCACAGCCGGGGGCAGAUCCAGCGCGGGCUCUUUGUUGCUGUCAGCAGGGACGGCGUCUCCAUCCAGCAGCAGUGACAGAGCUGCAGCUAUGGGCUGGAGCUUGGGCUGGGAGCAGUUAAAGCACGUCUGGGACAGAUGCCGCCCUUGUCACGCUGCUGUGGAUCCAGGGCUCGGCUGUGAACCGUGCUGGGCUCAUUUCCACGGGUGCCAUUUGGGAUCUGGGCAUGGAGGUGCUGCCCACGGCCGUGUGCUCUCGCAGGGAGCUCAGCUGGGGUCUGCAGAGUCCUGCAGCACCAGGCAGGAUUCAGUCCAUCACAGCAUCACAGGAUUGGGCACAAGUUUACUUUUGCAUAUGGGAUCAAAGCUUAAAAUAUCAGCUGGCCUUUCUCUCACUCCUGACUUUUCUAAAACAUCUGAACAAUUUCUUCUUUAGCUCUGUUAAAAUCAAUCAAUCUGACAUUUAAAUUGUAUGUGAAUUUGAUAAAUAAAGACAGGUUACAAAAUGC